rfam:Triticum aestivum genome assembly, contig: Triticum_aestivum_CS42_TGACv1_scaffold_132718_2BL
UUACUACUCCCUCCGUCCGAAAAAGCUUGUCCCUCAAAUGGAUGUAUCUAGCAUCAAAUUAGUGCUAGAUACAUCUAUUUGAGGCACAAGCUUGGGACAACUUUUUUCGGACAGAGGGAGUACUUA